GUUCUACCGGCUGGGCGCAUUCGUUAACAGACCUUCGUUCAGUUAGGAUACUGAAUACUUCAGGAAACCUUCCCAAACCCCCACCUCCCCCAUCGAGGGACGAGUCGGAACCUUCACCGGCUAUCAACCCUUUCGCUUUUUAUUUUGUUCGUGGUCGUCCAAGGCCUACGGGACAACACCAAUCGUUAAAAUGUAGACGUGCCGGGCAUCGCUGCGGAGCGCGACAGUAAACCUGAACCCUACGGGGUCGGUGCUUGAACAAUCCGUACGCAACGAAAACUGGUCCGAUUAGGCUAUGAAAUUCUGUCAAAUUUCAUACAAGUUCAUGAAGAAUAAUACCUCUGAAUAAUAGCUGUGUCGUAAAAUUAGAGAUCCGCGUGGGCGGCAAAGACAACUCAUCAGUAAGAGUAACCUCAAUAGCCUAGCAGAAAGUGCAGAAAGAAAAGAGAAGCCCACGGCACACGGUUGGAACGCGGGGGUAUUGGAUUAAAUACAAAUUUUAUACAAAAAUAUGCAGAAAGUAAGUUAAGAAA
rnacentral:lncRNA from 1 species